CAUAGUACGGCGAGUGAAGGGGAAGAGCCCAGCGCUGAAUCCAUCGAUCACUGGUCGCUUGGAAUUGUAGCGUAUAGGUGCGGCUAUCCGCUCGUUUCGUGCACCCAAAGUCCCCUUGAGCGGGGCCAUAGUCCAAAGAAGGUGCUAGACCUGUACGGGUGGCGAGGCGGUCGGUUGGUCGCUCCUUGGAGUCGGGUUGCCUGGGAUCGCAGCCCAAAGUUGGUGGUAGACCUCAUCUAAGGCUAAAUAUGGCCACGAAACCGAUAGCAAACAAGUACCGUGAGGGAAAGUUGCAAAGAACUUUGAAGAGAGAGUUCAAGAGGGCGUGAAACCGCCGAGAUUGAAACGGAUAGAGUUGACGAAACUCGAUCGCAUUCAUCCGAUCCGCCUAGCGGUUCGGCGGUUGUUGACUUCCUCGAUGAGGGCAACGCCGUCGCUGGCUGUUGGGUGUUAGAUUGGUGUAUUUGCGGUCGGUAUGCGCCGAGAGCUUUGCGAGCGCAUGUUGACGUUGAUGUAGUGGACCACUCCCUCCGGGCGUGGAACCCUGCAUUGAUUGAGGCAUGUCGUUCGUAGGGUGUUGCUGGGUGACGUCUCCGCUAUGGUGGGUCGGCUUUGUUGGGCUGUUGCGGUUGCUGGGUGAUCGCAUGCGAGCGCCUGCAGCUUGCGAUGGUACGAUGAGGUGCGGACGCGCUUGAGACGUGCAUCUCGGUGUGAACGUUGACCACCUAUCCGACCCGUCUUGAAACACGGACCAAGGAGUCUAGCAUAUGCGCGAGUCAUUGGGUGGUAAACCUAAAGGCGUAAUGAAAGUAAAGGUCGUCUUGUUACGGCUGAUAUGGGAUCUGUGCGGUUUUCGAGCCACGCAGCGCACCAUAGCCCCGUCCCGGUUGCUUGCAAUGGGGCGGAGGUAGAGCGCAUACGCUGGGACCCGAAAGAUGGUGAACUAUGCCUGAGCAGGAUGAAGCCAGAGGAAACUCUGGUGGAAGUCCGAAGCGGUUCUGACGUGCAAAUCGAUCGUCUGACUUGGGUAUAGGGGCGAAA
rnacentral:rRNA from 1 species